UGUCAGCUGUCCCAUCCCUCAGAAUGUG
rnacentral:sRNA from 1 species